CCUGGGGCUGGAGAAGGUCCCAAGGGUUCUGGAGUUCACAGAUUAAAGCGGUACGCGAGCUGGGUUUAGACCGUCGUGAGACAGGUCGGUCCCUAUCUGUCGUGGGUGUUCGAUAUUUGAAGAGAUCUGUCCUUAGUACGAGAGGACCGGGAUGGACGUACCUCUGGUGCACCAGUUGUCGUGCUAACGGCAUAGCUGGGUAGCUAAGUACGGAAAGGAUAAAUGCUGAAAGCAUAUAAGCAUGAAGCCUACUCUAAGACUAUAUAUCGUUUUCCUAUUAGGAAGAGAGACACCUUGAAGACUACAAGGUCGAUAGGCCAGAGGUGUAAGUGUAGUAAUACACUAAGCUGACUGGUACUAAUAAGUCGAAAAGCUUGACUUU
rnacentral:rRNA from 1 species